rnacentral:lncRNA from 1 species
AUUAAUUUGUGCGUGGAAUGAUUCGUAAAGCGAAACCAUGUCCUCUACCUUUAUCCUCGUGUUUUCUCAACACAACCGAUUUAUUAAUCUAAAGAACAACAAGGGUUAAGGGCUUGUCUCUCUUUGUUAUCCUCUUUAGGGGUUUGUCUUUUUAGGGUUUUGUUUGUUCAUGUAUCGAAGUGGACAUGUGCCAAGAAAGUUUUUAAGUGGGAAUAAAAAGAUUUGGGACAAGAAUUCUCUCCCUAGUGGCCUGUGGCCCCAUGCCCAUAUGAUCCCAUCACCCAUUUUCAAAGUCAUUUUCCUCCCCCCAAAAAAAAGAAGAAGAAGAGCUGUAGCUAUUUUUUCAAAUAGCUUUAUCCAUGUAUGAUGUGUAUGUGUGUUCUAAUCUGCGUAGCAAAUUCAUGUUGUUUACACUGUUGUAGUCCAACAUAGCCCCCACCAAAAGUUAUGUAUAUUAGACAACUUGGCAAUCGGCCUGUCUCUCUCCAAUCAAUCAUUGUGUUAUAUGCUAUGGUCGUUGGAAAUAUUGUUUGCAUUAUUGCAUCUAUUACUUGAUAUAUUCUUGUUGUCGAUUAAUCUUCACCAGUUGAUGUCCAAUAUGGACACAUGUUAGUGUAUUAUUGUCAUUGCAACAAGAACAGUGUUCUCUUUGUUUAAUCUGUACUUCCCCUGCAGCAUUGCGCAUAAUUACAACGCAGUAUCAGAUGCCAAAACGGAGUAGUAUAGCUAGCGAUCGAUAUGGUGCCUUGGCUCGCGUGAGUAUGGGAGAUAGAGAGCAGGUUCAGCCAUUGGAGGGUUCACGUCUGCUGAAAGGGCAGUCUCUCUUCUGUACAUGGUGUCGCGUUUUUCCUUGAGAUGACAUGGAAAGGAGCUGAUUAGUACUGUCCAAGCAUGCAAACAGAAGAUUAGGAGGAUCCGAAACAUGCAUCUUUGGAUUUCGGAAGACAGUUUUUUUAAGUUUGUUUUCUGUUCUUUUGUGAGAACUGAAGAUUCUGCAGUCAGACUACUAUAAUACUGUCUCUCCCAGGCUUUAAUGCAGUGAGAAUUGUUUUCUCUUUUUUAA